rnacentral:rRNA from 1 species
CNGGCGAUACGGGCAUAACUAGAGUGCUGUAGGGGAGACUGGAAUUCCUGGUGUAGCGGUGGAAUGCGCAGAUAUCAGGAGGAACACCGAUGGCGAAGGCAGGUCUCUGGGCAGUAACUGACGCUGAGGAGCGAAAGCAUGGGGAGCGAACAGGAUUAGAUACCCUGGUAGUCCAUGCUGUAAACGGUGGGCGUUAGGUGUGGGGACCGGUUUGGUUUCUGUGCCGUAGCUAACGCAUUAAGCGCCCCGCCUGGGGAGUACGGCCGCAAGGCUAAAACUCAAAGGAAUUGACGGGGGCCCGCACAAGCGGCGGAGCAUGUGGAUUAAUUCGAUGCAACGCGAAGAACCUUACCUGGGUUUGACAUGCACCAGACGGUCGUAGAGAUACGUACCUCCCUUUGUGGUUGGUGUGCAGGUGGUGCAUGGUUGUCGUCAGCUCGUGUCGUGAGAUGUUGGGUUAAGUCCCGCAACGAGCGCAACCCUUGUCUUAUGUUGCCAGCACUUUGGGUGGGGACUCAUGAGAGACUGCCGGGGUUAACUCGGAGGAAGGUGGGGAUGACGUCAAAUCAUCAUGCCCUUUAUGCCCAGGGCUUCACACAUGCUACAAUGGUUAGUACAACGCGCUGCGAGCCUGUGAGGGUGAGCGAAUCGCUGAAAGCUAAUCUCAGUUCGGAUUGGGGUCUGCAACUCGACCCCAUGAAGUCGGAGUCGCUAGUAAUCGCAGAUCAGCAAUGCUGCGGUGAAUACGUUCCCGGGCCUUGUACACACCGCCCGUCACGUCAUGAAAGUUGGUAACACCCGAAGCCCAUGGCCUAACCACCA